rnacentral:rRNA from 1 species
UUUUAUGGAGAGUUUGAUCCUGGCUCAGAGUGAACGCUGGCGGCGUGCCUAAUACAUGCAAGUCGAACGAUGAAGCUUCUAGCUUGCUAGAAUGCUGAUUAGUGGCGCACGGGUGAGUAACGCAUAGGUUAUGUGCCUCUUAGUUUGGGAUAGCCAUUGGAAACGAUGAUUAAUACCAGAUACUCCCUACGGGGGAAAGAUUUAUCGCUAAGAGAUCAGCCUAUGUCCUAUCAGCUUGUUGGUAAGGUAAUGGCUUACCAAGGCUAUGACGGGUAUCCGGCCUGAGAGGGUGAACGGACACACUGGAACUGAGACACGGUCCAGACUCCUACGGGAGGCAGCAGUAGGGAAUAUUGCUCAAUGGGGGAAACCCUGAAGCAGCAACGCCGCGUGGAGGAUGAAGGUUUUAGGAUUGUAAACUCCUUUUGUUAGAGAAGAUAAUGACGGUAUCUAACGAAUAAGCACCGGCUAACUCCGUGCCAGCAGCCGCGGUAAUACGGAGGGUGCAAGCGUUACUCGGAAUCACUGGGCGUAAAGAGCGCGUAGGCGGGAUAGUCAGUCAGGUGUGAAAUCCUAUGGCUUAACCAUAGAACUGCAUUUGAAACUACUAUUCUAGAGUGUGGGAGAGGUAGGUGGAAUUCUUGGUGUAGGGGUAAAAUCCGUAGAGAUCAAGAGGAAUACUCAUUGCGAAGGCGACCUGCUGGAACAUUACUGACGCUGAUUGCGCGAAAGCGUGGGGAGCAAACAGGAUUAGAUACCCUGGUAGUCCACGCCCUAAACGAUGGAUGCUAGUUGUUGGAGGGCUUAGUCUCUCCAGUAAUGCAGCUAACGCAUUAAGCAUCCCGCCUGGGGAGUACGGUCGCAAGAUUAAAACUCAAAGGAAUAGACGGGGACCCGCACAAGCGGUGGAGCAUGUGGUUUAAUUCGAAGAUACACGAAGAACCUUACCUAGGCUUGACAUUGAGAGAAUCCGCUAGAAAUAGUGGAGUGUCUGGCUUGCUAGACCUUGAAAACAGGUGCUGCACGGCUGUCGUCAGCUCGUGUCGUGAGAUGUUGGGUUAAGUCCCGCAACGAGCGCAACCCCCUUUCUUAGUUGCUAACAGGUCAUGCUGAGAACUCUAAGGAUACUGCCUCCGUAAGGAGGAGGAAGGUGGGGACGACGUCAAGUCAUCAUGGCCCUUACGCCUAGGGCUACACACGUGCUACAAUGGGGUGCACAAAGAGAAGCAAUACUGCGAAGUGGAGCCAAUCUUCAAAACGCCUCUCAGUUCGGAUUGUAGGCUGCAACUCGCCUGCAUGAAGCUGGAAUCGCUAGUAAUCGCAAAUCAGCCAUGUUGCGGUGAAUACGUUCCCGGGUCUUGUACUCACCGCCCGUCACACCAUGGGAGUUGUGUUUGCCUUAAGUCAGGAUGCUAAAUUAGCUACUGCCCACGGCACACACAGCGACUGGGGUGAAGUCGUAACAAGGUAACCGUAGGUGAACCUGCGGUUGGAUCACCUCCUUUCUAGA